UAUAAGUUCGUUUUUCAGUUUUUAGAUACACUCUUCAUCUUAUUUGAAUUUUUUUAUGAUUAAUAUUUUUAUUGUUACUAUAUGGUAAAACAUGAAUAAUACUUUAUGCGUGAUAAAUUUUUUUAAGUUUGUACAAAUUUUUUAAAUAAGACGAAUGGUUAAACGUCGUACACAUAAAUCAAAAAAUAAAUUUAUU
rnacentral:pre_miRNA from 1 species